GGCGCCGUGGCUUAGUUGGUUAAAGCGCCUGUCUAGUAAACAGGAGAUCGUGGGUUCAAAUCCCACCGGUGCCU
rnacentral:tRNA from 1 species